rnacentral:lncRNA from 1 species
GGUAUUAGGUCUGGAGAGGUUGAAAUUGGAGUUGCAAGCGCGGGGUUUGAAAUGUGGAGGUACCCUCGAGGAGAGAGCUGUGAGGCUAUUUCUGCUAAAGACUACACCUCUUGAUAAGUUGCCCAAGAAGUUGCUUGCUAAGCGUAAAGACUAAAUCUUCUGUGCUUAUUAAUUAAUUUUCCAUCCUUUUGGUGAAUCUUCUUGUAUUUUUCUUACUUGCACACCUGUAGUUUUCUUACUUGACUAGCACUGCUUUUGUAAACCAACUUUGUUAUUGCAGCAUUGACCCCAAGAAAGUGGUUUUUUGUAUCACUAGACCGUGUAGAAGCCCCCCUUCUGUUUUCUUUCUUGCAGUAUAUGUUUUGGAAAUCAUGUCCUUGUUCUGUGAAUCAAGUUCCAUCUUAUUUGUUUUCUUUUUGUCUUUUUUUUUUUCCUCCUCCUGUGAAUGAUUACUUAUCUGUCUUUUUAAUUAAUUUGUGAACCAUACAAUUAUAUAGAAAUAUCAGUGGUCUGUACAUUUAUUCGCAAUAAAAACUGGUUGACCGGCGCCUCGAUUGGCAAGGGCAUCAGCCUUGGUAUUACUUCCCUUAUUGCAGUGACUGAAUUCCUUGUCCCAAUCUUGGGUGAGAUGAUUUCUAAUUUGGUAAAAAACUGGACUCAAGCCUCCAAGGCACCAUUGGCUCCUCUUUGCAAUGACUUCCCUUUAGAGGGCUAUUUAAGGCCUUGAGGAAGAGCCUUAAAUUCAACUUCAUUAGCAAUACAAUUGCCAAGCAGGGCCCCAGAAUGACCCUGGAAUUUGACUGCUGUUAUCUCUAAUCACACCCCUAACUCCUAACAAGCCGGGGUUCCUAGUGAGUUUCCAUCAAAAUUUGAUGGGAUUUUUCCUUGUGGUGGUGGUAUCCACUGGUUAACUCGUUUUUUUGCUCAAGUUAAUCAAUUCCCAAGUUUUGUCAGUUAUGUCAUUCUUUUGACAAGCCCAUUCUGCUGCUGUGCUUAAAAUCGCGCCUUUCAAAUUUUCAUGUUCCAUAAUCUGGUCUGGCAAAUGCCUCCGAUUUUACUCAUUCCACCAGUGUCAAAGUACUGAAAACAGUAGAGAUUUUAUUAGGAUGCAACUUAUCGUUGAAACUGGUGGGGACAUCCACUCUUCAAAGAGUUGCUGCACAGCGCGUGUUGAAUGCUUCACUGAAAUCUAGCUAGACUUGAUACCCAAUACCACAGGUUUGUCACUCCUGAGCAGCUCAGGAAAAGGUGAGUGAUUGCUGUCCUUGUUCAUCUUUUUAGACAUUAAAUUUGGUAGAAUCUACUCUCCUUUUUUCAAACAUGGCAGAAUCUACCAAACAAUCGUGACCGCGCAAUGAAACUUGGACAAUGAUGAGCGUAGGCGAAAUCACUAUUUAUUUAAGCUUAUAGGCGUUAUUAGGAAGAUUUUUUUUAUAUAUAUAUUGGAAAAUGCUGAGAUUAAUCCACUAACUCUUAUGAACAUAUGAGUCUAACGAUUCAGAUUGAAUCUGGGCCGAUCUGAUGGUCUCGAUGUCAUUUUGAAUUUGAAUAUUAAUGUUUUUUUUAUGCAUCCAAAUAAUUUGAAAUUUUAGGAGCGCAUUCUUCUCAUCAAGGUUCACUUAAUAAAAAUAUUUUAAAAAUAAUUCGUAAAUAAAUAAAUUGAUCAAAAUACCCACAAAAUGUUUCAAGGGUAUUUAGGUCAAUUUAUUUAUUGUAAAUUUUAUUUUUGGAUAUUUUUAUUGGAUUCUCCUAUUUUGAAAAAUAUACGCAUAAAAUAUCAAAUUAUUUGGAUUCUAAAAAAAAAAAAAUAUUAAAAUUAAAAUUCAAAUAUGAAAUGAGGUUGUGAUCGUCAGAUCGGUUCAGAUUUAAUCUGAGUCGUUGGACUCAUGAACACAUAUGUUCAAAUGAGCUAGUGGGCUAAUUUCAG